CGGACAAAUUGAGGCUGCUGCUAUUAUGGAACACAUUUUGGAUGGUAGCUCUUAUGUGAAGGCGCCUCAGAAGCUUCACGAAACGGAUCCUCUUCAAAAACCAAAGCAAGAUCGUUACGCCCUCAGAACAUCACCCCAGUGGCUUGGCCCUCAAAUUGAGGUCAUCCGUUCUGCAACCAAGAUGAUUGAGAGAGAGAUUAACUCAGUGAACGACAACCCUUUGAUUGAUGUUUCAAGAAACAAGGCGUUACACGGUGGCAAUUUCCAGGGCACACCAAUUGGUGUCUCUAUGGACAACGCUAGAUUAGCCCUUGCUUCAAUUGGGAAAUUGAUGUUUGCCCAAUUCUCCGAGCUUGUCAACGAUUACUACAACAACGGGUUGCCAUCUAAUCUGACAGCAGGAAGGAAUCCAAGCUUGGACUAUGGUUUCAAGGGAUCUGAGAUUGCCAUGGCUUCAUACUGUUCAGAACUUCAAUUCUUGGCAAAUCCAGUGACUAACCACGUACAAAGCGCCGAGCAACACAACCAAGAUGUGAACUCCUUGGGCUUAAUCUCAGCUAGAAAAACAGCUGAAGCUGUGGACAUCUUAAAGCUAAUGUCAUCCACAUAUCUAGUCGCACUUUGCCAAGCGAUAGACUUGAGGCAUUUGGAAGAAAAUCUGAGGAAUGCAGUCAAGAACACGGUGAGCCAAGUCGCUAAGAGAACCUUGACAAUGGGUGCCAAUGGAGAACUUCAUCCAUCAAGAUUCUGCGAAAAGGACUUGCUUCGAGUCGUGGACAGGGAAUACGUCUUUGCUUACGCUGAUGACGCCUGCAGCGCCAACUACCCACUGAUGCAGAAACUA
rnacentral:lncRNA from 1 species